UCAAGUAAAAUUCAAGCAAAAUGGCUGUGAGGCUUUCUUUAGCCUAAUGAGAACAAGAGAUUUACAUUGGAGUAAAAGAAGAUAAUUGACUCUUAGUCAUGUGUAUGUGUUUUUAGGCAUGGAGUUUAGAAAGCAAGAAUCAUAUCAAUCAAGAAUGUAUAACUUCAUUACCUUUUUAAACACAAACAUAUCAAAAGUAGUUAGAUAAAUGAUGUUACCGAAUGUAUGUAAUU
rnacentral:lncRNA from 1 species